rnacentral:hammerhead_ribozyme from 1 species
ACACUGCUGAGGAGUCCCAUACUAGGACGAAACGGCCGUCCAG